GAGUUUGAUCGUGGCUCAGAGUGAACGCUGGCGGCAGGCCUAACACAUGCAAGUCGAACGGCAGCGCAGCAGUAGCAAUACUGUGGGCGGCGAGUGGCGGACGGGUGAGGAAUACAUCGGAAUCUACCUUGUCGUGGGGGAUAACGUAGGGAAACUUACGCUAAUACCGCAUACGACCUACGGGUGAAAGCGGCGGACCGCAAGGCGUCGCGCGAUUGGAUGAGCCGAUGUCCGAUUAGCUAGUUGGCGGGGUAAGAGCCCACCAAGGCGACGAUCGGUAGCUGGUCUGAGAGGAUGAUCAGCCACACUGGAACUGAGACACGGUCCAGACUCCUACGGGAGGCAGCAGUGGGGAAUAUUGGACAAUGGGCGCAAGCCUGAUCCAGCCAUGCCGCGUGUGUGAAGAAGGCCUCGGUUGUAAG
rnacentral:rRNA from 1 species